rnacentral:lncRNA from 1 species
UAUAAUGACAAAAAAAAAUAGAUAAACUUUAAAUACGGCCCUCUAUAGUUUCGCGUAUAAUUUAAAGUGUAUCAAGUUAGUAUCAUAUAAUUUAAAUUGUAUCAAGUUAAUAUCAUAUGGUUUUAUUUUUUUCUUUUUGUCAGUUUCUGGGUUAAUAUUUCGUUAAAUUAUAUGUAAAAAAUUUCAGAUAUCCCAUUUACGUUUAUCGAAUAUUCACUUUAGUACUUUUUUGUUUUAACUUUGUCACUGAUUUAAUAAAAAUAAAAAAAUAAAAUUAUUAAAAAAAUAAAACUAUUAAAAAAAUAAAAUAAUAGAAUAUUAAAUUGAUGUAUUUUAAAUUACAGGAUACGAAAGUGAAAAAGUGCGAAACCAUAUUAGUGAUAUUUGGAGUUUUUUUUUUUAAAAUUGUGCACUCUAUCUUAAAG